rnacentral:rRNA from 1 species
ACUCAAAUGAAUUGACGGGGACCCGCACAAGCAGUGGAUCAUGUGGUUUAAUUCGACAAUAAACGAGGAACCUCACCUAGACUUGACAUUGAUAGAAUUCGCCAGAAAUGGCUUAGUGCCCGCAAGGGAACUUGAAAACAGGUGUUGCAUGGUUGUCGUCAGCUCGUGCCUUGAGGUGUUCGGUUAAGUCCGUUAACGAGCGCAACCCAUGUCGUUAGUUAUUAUGUCUAACGAGACUGCUCGAGUUAAUCGAGAGGAAGGUGUGGAUGACGUCAAAUCAGCAUGACCCUUAUGUCUAGGGCUACACACAUGAUACAAUGGUCGGUACAAAGGGUUGCCAAGUGGUAACAUGGAGCCAAUCCCAGAAAGCCGAUCUCAGUCCAGAUUGAGGGCUGCAACUCGCCCUCAUGAAGUUGGAAUUGCUAGUAAUCGUGAAUCAGCUAUGUCACGGUGAAUCUGUUCCCGGGUCUUGUACACACCGCCCGU